GGAGCCGAAGGGAAACCAAGUCUGAAUAGGGCGAAAGUCAGUGCAGGCAGACCCGAAACCGGGUGAUCUAUCCAUGUCCAGGUUGAAGCGAAAGUAAAAUUUCGUGGAGGACCGAACACACAUCCGUUGAAAAGGGUGGUGAUGAGGUGUGGAUAGGGGAGAAAUUCCAAUCGAACCCGGAGAUAGCUGGUUCUCCUCGAAAUAGCUUUAGGGCUAGCCUCGUAUUAGUCUGCUGGAGGUAGAGCACUGAAUUUCCGCGGGGGCGUCAAAGCCUACCAAAGAAUAUCAAACUCCGAAUGCCAGCCAGAUGAUGUACGGGAGUCAGACCGCACGAGAUAAGUUGGGUGGUCAAAAGGGAAAGAGCCCAGACCUGCAGCUAAGGUCCCAAAGUACGUGUUAAGUGGAAAAGGAUGUGGGAUUUCGAAGACAACUAGGAUGUUGGCUCAGAAGCAGCCACACAUUCAAAGAGUGCGUAAUAGCUCACUAGUCGAGAGGUCCUGCGCCGAAAAUGUCCGGGGCUGAAACACGACACCGAAGCUCAGGGAUGUACGAAAGUACAUCGGUAGAGGAGCAUUCUUAAAGGAACGAAGCAGUACCGAUAAGGAGCUGUGGACUUUUAAGAAGAGAGAAUGCCGGAAUGAGUAGCGAGAUGGAGGUGGGAAUCCUCCAGGCCGAAUAUCUAAGGUUUCCAGGGUAAAGCUGAUCUGCCCUGGGUAAGUCGGGACCUAAGCCAAGGUCGAAAGACGUAGGCGAUGGACAACAGGUUGAGAUUCCUGUACCGCGUAUAAUCAGAACUGUGGGGACACAGAACGGCAGCCAAACCCGGGAAUGAGAAGACCGGGGCAAGCAUAGGAAGAGAUGAGUUGGCAAAUCCGCUCAUCAAUCUGAAGAUGUGAUGCGUACCGAACUAGAGUAGGGAAGUUGGUGAUCCGGGCUGUCAAGAAAAGCCGCUAUUGUGUGAUACGCGCCCGUACCGUAAACCGACACAGGUGGAUGAGGAGAGAAUCCUAAGGCCGGCGGGAGAAGCAUUGUUAAGGAACUCGGCAAAAUGGCCCUGUAACUUCGGGAUAAAGGGUGCCUCUGAAAGGAGGCCGCAGAGAAUAGGCUCAAGCAACUGUUUAGCAAAAACACAGGUCUAUGCAAAACCGAAAGGUGAGGUAUAUGGGCUGACGCCUGCCCGGUGCUGGAAGGUUAAGAGGAGAGGUUAGAGCAAUCGAAGCUUUGAAUUUAAGCCCCAGUAAACGGCGGCCGUAACUAUAACGGUCCUAAGGUAGCGAAAUUCCUUGUCGGGUAAGUUCCGACCCGCACGAAAGGCGUAAUGAUUUGAGCGCUGUCUCGACAAUGCACCCGGUGAAAUUGAAGUACCAGUGAAGAUGCUGGUUACCUGCGCCAGGACGGAAAGACCCCAUGGAGCUUUACUCCAGCUUGAUACUGGGGUUCGGUUAUGCAUGUACAGGAUAGGUGGGAGGCU
rnacentral:rRNA from 1 species